GAUGAACGCUGGCGGCGUGCGUAACACAUGCAAGUUGGACGACGGUGCUAUGAAGUGGUAACACGGAAUGGUAUACGGAGUAGCGGACGGGUGAGUAAAGCAUGAGGAGCUGUCCUGUUGAGGGGGAUAACGUUCGGAAACGGACCCUAAUACCCCAUAGGCCGAGAGGUUAAAGGCAGAGAUGCGCGACAGGAGGUACUCGUGUCCUAUCAGCUGGUUGGUGAGGUAACGGCUCACCAAGGCAACGACGGGUAGCCGGCCUGAGAGGGUGACCGGCCACACUGGAACUGAGACACGGUCCAGACUCCUACGGGAGGCAGCAGUGGGGAAUAUUGGGCAAUGGGAGAAAUCCUGACCCAGCGACGCCGCGUGAACGAAGACGGCCUUCGGGUUGUAAAGUUCUUUUAUGUGGGAAGAAGGAAGUGACGGUACCACAUGAAUAAGCCCCG
rnacentral:rRNA from 1 species